rnacentral:rRNA from 1 species
GACGAACGCUGGCGGCGUGCUUAACACAUGCAAGUCGAGCGGUAAGGCCCUUUCGGGGGUACACGAGCGGCGAACGGGUGAGUAACACGUGGGUGACCUGCCCUCAGCUCUGGGAUAAGCCUGGGAAACCGGGUCUAAUACUGGAUAUGACUCCAUGACGCAUGUUGUGGGGUGGAAAGCCUUGUGCGGCUGAGGAUGGGCCCGCGGCCUAUCAGCUUGUUGGUGGGGGAUGGCCUACCAAGGCGACGACGGGUAGCCGGCCUGAGAGGGCGACCGGCCACACUGGGACUGAGACACGGCCCAGACUCCUACGGGGAGGCAGCAGGUGGGGAAUUCUUGCGCAAGUGGGACGAAAGCCUGACGCAGCGACGCCGCGUGA